CAUUUUUUUCGGUUUUCAAAAGUCUAUCUUUCGAUCCAGUACUAAUUAUGAUUAACUAUGAUUUACUCUUUCUUUUCUUUUGAUUGAUUUGAUUAGAAAGUGUUCGAUAACUUUUGAGUCAAACAAGACCGUAUUAUCCACUUAGAAAAUGGUUAAUCAAAUAGAUAACCAAUGUGUUUAACUUUUAUAUUUGUAAUUGGGGGUUCCUCAAGUUUGGGAGAUUAGGAAUUCUCCCAAACAAUGAUCAUAUUCAAGAAGCCAUGGAUAAUAUAAAUAUCCAUAAUAUUCACUGGAUAUCCCGUUUUUACCAUCUCAAAUACGAGUCGAGUCGGGUAAUUUAUCUGUUUUUUGAAUUAUUCAUUCUCAGCUCGCUCAUAUUCGAUCCGAUACGCUCGUUUGGCACCCCUAUUCAAAGCUAUGACGGCGAAAUUAUUUACAUAGAUCAUCAGAAAGCUAAGGUAAUGGCAUAGGCAGUGAGUGACAAAAUCAAUCCCAAUAACUCAUCAGACUAACAGUACUCAUUUAAUGUUACAUAUACACGAAGGUGUUUUUACUGACAGUUUAUAACUUAUGUAACAUAUAUGUGACAAGCUGUUUGGAAGAAUUAGGUAUGAAUUGGCUGAAUGUGAAAAGAGAUGGGAAUAUGAUGAAUGUAAGUAGCUAAACAAAAGAGUUUCACACACAAGAGGUAACAUAAUUUGAAUGAUGGUCCCUUUUUGUGGACUCUUGUGAUGAAGACAAGGCAAUUGGAACUAAUGGGAAAAUGAAAGCUCAAAGACAUGAGAAAGAAAACCUAGAAGAUACAAACAUUGAACAUGCUCCAGCCUCCAAACUAGAAUGUUAACCAUAUAAAGAGCAGCCAAGACUCAGAAUAAUUAUUGCUCCCUGGCAUAUUGUUAGCUGCUAUAGUUUUAAAUUCCUUCACCGCCACACCUUCAGAUAUAGGAAUAUGUAUGGGGACUACUGAUUAUAGGACUCCACAAAUUGAUAAAAAUUUCCAGUAGAUCCAAUAACAUUGUAUAUUAAUGUCGGGUGCAAAUCCAAAUAAACUUUGGUAGUAAUAGGUAUAUGGAAGGAAACUGAAAAAAGAUAUACGUUAGUAAGUGAGUAUAUUUUUAGGUAUUAUCACUUCUAGCCCGUGCCAAAAACUAUUUAUAUUCAUAUGAAAAAUAGUUUCUCUAAUCAAUUUUAAAAAAUUAAAUUGGAAAGAGAAUAUGUUGUUUGUUAAUUAAUGUAGUUAAAUUAAUUUUUCAGUUAAAUAGACCUUUUGUCCUUAUCUUUUUCAUUUGAAUGUUUGAACAACUAAUGACUUCUUUGUUGAGAAGAGCUCUAGGCGAGGAAAUAAUGUAUCUUUCGGUGUGAGUUGUCUGUUAUCUUUUGUAGUUCGCAACGUAUGCACAUGACUCUUCUUCUCUUUUCUUUGUAUAUUGAAUUCUCCAGAAAAUUGUAUUCUAAUUGUAAUCUAAUUAUGGGUAGAAGAUGUUUUUAUUUACCACUGGGCAAGGUUAAUAUUAAAUUAUGCGAAAUGAUGUAGAUUUGAAGCUUUGCACUUGGUAAUCUUAUUUGACUCCAACUAUUAUCCAAAUGUAAAUAUGUAUUAUCUCGUAUAAUUCUAAGGACAAAUUUGAUCUUCUAGUUUGGGUAUUCUGAUGGUCAAAUGGUGCAAGCUUGUAACGAUCCGGUCGGUCGUUUCAUGAGUUACAACUUUAUCUCCUUUAUUUAUGCUUCCUUGUAUGUUGUUCAGCUGUAUUUCAUCAUUUCAUGUUGCUUGUGUUGUGUUCAAAGUGGCCAAGGGUGUCUCUUAUUUGGAAGCUUAAGUUGAAAAAGUCAACUGGAUGUUGACUAAUAUGUAGAAUAUCUCGGAUGUGAAUUCUGAUGGUUUGGAUAGCUUUGUUAGGUGAUUUUGGACUUGGGAGCGUGUUCGAAAUGUAACUUAAAGGUCCUUGUUAGAUUUAGGCUUGAAUUGGCGAAAUUUGAAAUUUGACUUUUUCGGUCGCAGUGAAAAUCUUGAUAUCAGGGUCGGAAUGGGAUUAAAGAAAUUGGAGUAGGUUCAAUGUGUCAUUUAUAACGUGUGUGCAAAAUUUCGGGUCACUCAGACGAUGUUUGAUAGGUUUUGGCAUCCAUUACGAAAGAAAUCCUUAGACUUGAAUAUGAGGGUGAUUUGAAGUUUUGAUAUUGCUUUGAGUGUUCCGAAGGUUGGAAUAAGUUUGAAUGAUAAUGUGUGACUUGUUGGCAUGUUUGGUUGAGAUCCCNNNNNNNNNNNNNNNNNNNNNNNNNNNNNNNNNNNNNNNNNNNNNNNNNNNNNNNNNNNNNNNNNNNNNNNNNNNNNNNNNNNNNNNNNNNNNNNNNNNNNNNNNNNNNNNNNNNNNNNNNNNNNNNNNNNNNNNNNNNNNNNNNNNNNNNNNNNNNNNNNNNNNNNNNNNNNNNNNNNNNNNNNNNNNNNNNNNNNNNNNNNNNNNNNNNNNNNNNNNNNNNNNNNNNNNNNNNNNNNNNNNNNNNNNNNNGGGCUCGGAAUGAUUUCGGAUUGUUAACAAAAGAUAGGACUUAGUUUGAGUAGCUGAAGCUGCUGCUUCAGUCAUAACCGUACCUGCAGAUUGGGAACCGCAGGUGCGAUGUCACAUAUGCAAAAUUUGGCUAUCAGAAGAGGAACCACAUGUGCGAUGUAUUGGGCGCAUCUGUGGGACCAAAGGCGCAGUGCCUGGCCGUAAAUGUGGUCCAGGGGACUUUAAGUGAAACCCGUAGGUACGGUUGAUUUGAUUGCAGAAGCGAUCCGCAGAAGCGUGAUAAGGGUCGCAUGUGCGAAAUGCCUAGGCAAAAGGUAUAAAUUAAAUCCUUCGCAAAUUUUCGCCCAUUUCCGCCAUGUUUGAAGACGGGAUUGGAGCUUUUGGAGGGUGAUGAGGGAUUCAAGAGGAAACUCAUUGAGGUAAUGUUUUUGAACCUAAAACUCGAUUCUAUGGUAAUUUUCAGUUGAUUAAGCAUGAAAUUUAUGGGAUUUAAGGGUAAAAAUUAGGUGAUUAGGGCUUGAAAUUGUAGAGGUUAAAUUGGGGAUUUGAGGGGCCAAUUGAAGUCCGAUUUUGAUGGUUUUGGUAUGAAUAAACUCGGGAGUGAAAGGAGUUUCUAGUUUUAUGAUUUUUGUUGUAUUCCAAGAUGUGGGCCCUGGUCAGGUUUGGCCAAUUUCGAAAUUUUCGAAUUAAUCUGAUAAUUUUCACAUGGGCUUUGUUCCUUUAGCGUGUGUUAAUGAUGUGAUACUGAUUUUAGUUAAAUUCGGAGCAUUUGGAGGCCGAGUCGACAGACAAGGGCAUCGCAGACUAGAGUUUUGUUCGGGUUUAGGUAAGUAAUGAUUGUAAAUCUUGUCAUGAGGGUACGAAACCCCGGAUUUCACAUCAUUUCAUUACUUUGAGGUGACGCAUAUGCUGGAUGACAAGCGCGGGGGCGUGCACCAUUGGAAAUUAUAACUUGGUCCGUCCCAUUCGACUAUUAAGUCGCAUAUUUGACUGAUAACUAUUUGAUACUAUUGUGCUUUGAAAAGUAUUACUAUGUGGGCUGAAUGUCAUAUUUGGGCCUAGCGCCAAGCUGUUUUGACCCUUAAUGGUUUUUUACUACUAUUCCUCACUGUUUUGAUUUAAUAUAUGUACUUAGUUAUGUUGUAUUUUAAUGAUUUCAUAAUUCCGCCUUAUUUACUCCAUUUUGGAUACUAUAAAUGAUAUUUUGGGCUGAGCAUCAUGUUUUACUAUUAGCCCGAGUGGCUUGAGAGAUUUCUAACUAAGUAAGGCUGAGGUCCUGUGUUGUGAGGAUAUCAUGGGAUCGGGCUGUGUGCCGCAACAUGUGAUACUAAUGUUUGAUAUAUGAGAGGCCGAGGGCCUAAUUUGUUAUGCCACGAGAUGGUUUGUUAUAGCGCUUGGGCUGUAGGAGCCCCUCCGGAGUCUGAACACCCCCAGUAAGCACGAGUACCCUGAGUGAGUGAUAUGAUGUUGCCUAAGGGGCUAAUCUUGAUUCAUGUCGUGCCCGAGGGGCUGAUUACGAGUGACUGUGAGAUAGCCCGAGAAACUGAUUCUGAUUGAUGUUAUACACGAUGGGUGGUUUAUGACACAUGUCUUGCCUGAUAGGCUCUUUAUGAUUUUCAUUAUAUUUUGCUCUAAAACUUCAUUGAAUCUUUGCUAAAACAGUUAGAAAGACAUUUUUCAAAGGAUUUUUACUGAAAUUAGAUUUUAACAAGAUGGUUUGAAUCAUAUACUGUUUUGGAAACUUACUGCACUUACUGUAGGGUUAUAACGUGGAUUAUGUAUUUUCUUACUGUUCAGUCUUUAUUUACUUUUAUUACUUACUCAGUUGGCAUAUGCACAUUAUUUCAUGCACCUUGUGUGCAGAUCCAAGAGUUGCGGAUUGUGAUAGCGAAUGAUGAUCCUUCACCCAGCGAGUCUUUCGGAGUCGUCAGGGUAGUUGUAUGGCAUUUGUAGCCUUGCUCUUCUCCCUCUUAUCUCCCUUAGACUGUUUUUAGUAUAUUUCCAUAUUGCGAUAGUCUUUGCUAUAUUCAAUCCUUAGUAGAUGUGUGUGAUUUGUGACAUCCCGAUGUCGAGCUUGUAUUAUUUUCUGCACUUGUUAUUUAGACUCAUGUCAUGGGAUUUUAUUAAUUAAUAGCUUAAAAUGUCUUCUUAUGAAAUAUUGGUUGAUUUGGGAGUGUGUUGGCUGGCCUAAUUUCACGAUAGGUGCCGUUAUAAUCAAACCGAUUUUAGGGUCGUGACAAAAUUAAUAUGAAGUUAAACUAUAUGCUAGAGUAGGACACCGAAAAUUGAAUAAUUAUAGAUAGCAAUGACACUAUAGAUAACAAUGCCACUAAUACACAAGAUUUUUGCCUAAUCUAGUACGACAACUUAAACAGUUAAGAGGUAAAUAAAUUAUUUAGUCCCAUAAAAGGCAACCAUCCUUUGCAAUAACAAGUUAAUGAAUUAAAUCUACGUUUAUGCUCCUAUAUAUCGGUGAAUGUUUAUUAUAUACCUCGUUUUAUUUAAUCUGUUAAAACAGAUCACACCAUUACAUUGACAACAGCCGACAAUUAAUAGAAAAAGAUCAAAUCCAAAUUAUAGUUUAUUUAUUAGUGUUUUCCUCUCAAGUUGAAGUCUUAGAUAUAUAAUUGUUGGCAAUGAUGUUUAAGUCAUGGAUAAUAUAUUGUUGGCAGACAAGAGAGGUUGCUCUGAUGGUAAGCAACCCUCACUUCCAACCGAGAGGUUGUGAGUUNNNNNNNNNNNNNNNNNNNNNNNNNNNNNNNNNNNNNNNNNNNNNNNNNNNNNNNNNNNNNNNNNNNNNNNNNNNNNNNNNNNNNNNNNNNNNNNNNNNNNNNNNNNNNNNNNNNNNNNNNNNNNNNNNNNNNNNNNNNNNNNNNNNNNNNNNNNNNNNNNNNNNNNNNNNNNNNNNNNNNNNNNNNNNNNNNNNNNNNNNNNNNNNNNNNNNNNNNNNNNNNNNNNNNNNNNNNNNNNNNNNNNNNNNNNNNNNNNNNNNNNNNNNNNNNNNNNNNNNNNNNNNNNNNNNNNNNNNNNNNNNNNNNNNNNNNNNNNNNNNNNNNNNNNNNNNNNNNNNNNNNNNNNNNNNNNNNNNNNNNNNNACAGUCUCUCUAUCCCAAAGUAGGGGUAAGAUCUGCGUACAUACUGGGGGCGAGAUUCUAACCUUUUACAUUACUAGCUCUAAAUUAAUAAUUCCGUACAUAAUUAAUAAAUUUAGUUAGACAAAUAUGAAAUUUAAUUAAAAGUUAUUGAGUUACGUCGAACUCAUAAAUUAUAUUCUAGUUGCGCCCAAUGCAAGAAGGUAGUUAUAACUUUGAAAUUAACGUGGUUAAUUACUUUCGCUGUUCUGGUUCAUUCUCAGUGAUUAGAUUGAAAAAGAAAGUUGGAAAAUUUUAAAGGCGGCUAUGCUAUCUUGAGGUAGCGCCUAACCACUGGAUCUUGUAAAUAUCCGUAUAGAAUAAAUCAUAGUUUAUGGGUCACGAUUCUACGAUAAUAAAUGAAAUUAAUUCGUUCCUAAGUCUAUUAGUGAUUAAUAAAUAGUAUGGUCAUUUAUUAACGACGGUAUCCGACGGUCUCUCGAUUUGGUUAGCAAGGCUACGACGUACACACCAUCACCUCUCGCGGCCAUUCAGUACCAGCUAGCAGAAUUGGUUGCUAUAUAUACUUAGAGAAAGAACCUUAGAAAAGGGGGCUGCUUCUUCUUCUUCUCCACUACUCCUAAGAAAAGGGAAAAUCCACAAUAAUACCCCGACUAAGGGCAUUGAUAACAUCAUUGUAAGGCUUUGAAUCUCUCCAUGGAAAAGCAGAUCAAAUCAACAUCAAUCAAUAAAAAGCUCCCCGCCUUUUUCAUCUUAGUAUAUAAGCUUAUUUCUUAUCCAUUUUAUUCGGUCUUUCGAUUUAUUAUAAUCUGCUAUGAUUGACCCUUGUUUUCUUCUAAUUAUUUUAUGCUUACGAAAUGUAUGUUAACUUUGAGCUAAAUACAUAGAAGGAAGCUAAAAAAAUAGAAAUAACAUAAAGAAUAUUAUAAAAAAACUGUUUGUUUGUCUAUUUGACAAGAUGGUGUCUACUAUUAUCUCAUGCAAUUAAAAUAAUUGACUAGAGAAUGUAGAGUAAAUUUUGAAUUUAAAGAUUGAAGUAGUCGACUAAGAUAAUAAAAUUGUAAGAAUUCAUCAAAAUUUUAACCAUUUAUAUUUUAUCUUUGAAAUCCACGUGUACAUGUAGAUUCCUAGCUCCCAAGUAAUAGGCCUUGUGAUCCUUAUUCUAUUUCUUAUUCCUUGCUAGGAUGUUAGAACAGUAAAUAGUGAAUUCCUCAUCCAAAAGAUACAAUCCGGCUUCCGGCCCCAUUAGUUAUCCUUGUGGCUGUGGCCAAUAUAUAUGAUCAGUUUGAACCAUUGAAAGCCAAACCAGUAGGAGAACACAGUGAAGAAACCCUUAUCAGUAAAUGAGCCAUACAAAUGUUAAAGAAAAUGCCCUUGUCUCGUGUGUCAGAAUAGCAAACCCUGAGAGUGAUUGGAUUUGGGUGCAUAUAUUGGGAGAGAUAAAGAGAAUCCAAAUUUUUAUUAUUUUUUUAAAAGAAAACAGAAAAUAAUAUUGUAGCAGAGAUAGCAUUAAAUGCAUGGCAACUCUUUCUCCCAACAGCUUCUGCAAUCUCAAUUAAUGCACCCCACACACACAUCCCUUUCUCCCUCACGCACCAGUUAAGCCUCAACUCGCUCUUUCUUCGUUGCUUAUCCAAAUUUCAUCACAUUCUUUUAUCUAUUCUUAUUAUUGGUAUAACAUUUGUUAUAUUCGAUAUUUAUUUACUCAACGAAUUCGAAUUCAUAUAUAAUAAGGUUAGUAACAUUAAAAAAAGCUCCCUACCAAAAUUUAUAUUCCCUUUAAUCCUUUCGAGUCACUCUUUUGCGACAAUUUCUGGCUCUCAUGACCAAGAUUCAUAAUAAGUUUAAACCAUGCGACAUAUCAGUACAUCAUAAUUACAGUAUAAUCUUUUGGGACGCUUGGUGCGGCUCAUGACAUAUUUCAUCUAUAAAUAUGGUAGUUCAAAAAAUCGUCUAACAUCUAAGGCUUGUUCUUAUACACCAAUCCUAUACACUCCAAUAGGCUAAGAACCUUAAGCAAUUAAUAUAUUUUUACCCCUUCCUUCUAUUUUUUCCAUCAUUAAUUGUUUCCCUCCACCACUAUUGUUACUAUACCAUGAAAAAUAUUGUAUUUCAAAUUUUUAGUCUUUUAUAUAUGGAUUAGGGCAUUGAAGUGGCAUUUUAUGUACAAUCCACCUCAUCAAAUGUCAGUGUCAUAUAGGAUUGGAUAUUUAUUUGGACAAUCUUAACAAAAUAACGGUAUAUUUAAACCAAUUGUAUUACAGAAGGAGUAUAUUUGAACCUAAAGUUUAACUAAUGGUAUAUUAGAAUUUUUUUUCUCAUAGUACAAGUAUAUAUUUAACAAUGUGCCGGAAAGAUAAUGUCAUUUCCUCAUUUUAAAUCCGAAGAUGUACUUUUGCAAUCAAAUUGAUGUGGUGAAAUAUGUGGAAUACAAUGAAACAGAUGCAUAAUUUUCGCCCCCUUUCUCUUCAUAUUUGCAUUUGAAAUGCCACCGUCCGGUUUUAGAUAUUUUGGUGUUAUUGAUAUUUUCUUUAUUUACUUUUGGAUGAAAUGAAAUAAAAAGGGGUGUGAACACUAUUGGAUUGUAAAUUGUACAAUCAAAUUAUAUUCUCAUCUCCUUCUCUAUGUCCUAUCCAAAUCAUCCAAAUUCCAAAGAGAACAUCACCACCUGUCCUCGUUCAACUUUUUAGGGUCUUGUAUGAAGGUAUAUAGCUCAUAUUUUAUUGUCUAUAUAGACCAAGCACUUCUAUUUGGCUGAUAAUAUUUAAGUAUUUAAUUUGUAAACACUAAAGUCCAAUAUUGACGAAUACUAAUUUAAUGGCGGUACUUUACAAAUACAAAAUUUACAACAAAUACGUAUCCAGCGUGAUUCUUCAAAUACAUAACUUUCGUAUUUACAAAUAUACAUGAGAUAUUAAACUUUUUAUCUAAGAAAUAUUUCAAGUGAAAUAAUAGUUUACUCACAUUUUAAAAGUAUCUUUAAGUAAAGUUUAUGUCCAAACACUAUUUUUUCUUUAAAUUUCGGCUUCAAAUAAUCUUUAUUUUUUUCAAUUUUAAUCAAAUCUUGUACAAAACAACGAAGAUUGUCCGCAGGAAUAAAGAAGACUUGUUUAAUCUAUUUGAAGAUAAUAUGCUUUACAAGGAUAACUGAACUUAUUAUUAGAAAGAUAUAUAUUACAAGUUUAACUUGCAAAAGGUAAAGAAAAAACAUUUGCAGCUGGGAUAAGAUGUGAACACCAAUAAACAGGACAAAGACAGUGGAGUUAAAGUCAAUUAAGAUAACGUACAAUACUAGAUUAGUCCCCCACCAUACCAAACAAAAGAGCCAUUAUGACUCCCCAUCAAACAAACAACUAUAAAAUGAUCAAACAAACCACAGCUGCUUAAAUUGAUAUUGCUGUCACACAAAUUGCCCAAAAUGAAAAUUCCAUAUUUUGAAAUCAUACUCACCCUUAUGCUCAUUUUACCAAUUUUCACCACAGCUUGAAACCAACACUUAGGUCCUGAGUCAAUACCCGAACCACCACCUUUGCUUUGUGUUAAGAACCAAAACUAUAACCUUAGGCUAGGUUGAACCGCUCUGGUCCAUGCCGGCCCUUACCACCUAGCAACGGUCGUUUAAGCGCGGUUCGUUCUUGACUCAGCCUCCGAUUCUGCUCGAGUUCUUGAUUUAGCCCCCUUCAACUAAACACAUCAGUACCUCUUUUUUACUAGUUAAGUUAUAUUAUGAAAUAAUAUAAAAGACAAGAACAAUAACUCAAGAACAAGACAGCACCUCUUUUUUACUAGUUUAGUUAUAUAUAUUACAGAACAAAAAGAAAAAAUUUUAAAAAAAGGGCGAUAUGCCCCAAGUCAAAUCAUCAUCACGUGAAAAGCACGUGAUCCUUCUCCCAAUUAGCUUUCACAAUGAAGGGCAGCUUUAAUCUUCUGAACAGUGCAUGAUAUAAGAUUAUUGACUGUCUCAACUGAUUCCACUGUAAGCUUGGCUGUAGGGAGGCUAUUCACCAAUAUCUGGAAAGCUACCGUCAAUAGUGACCCGCUAAUUCUUUGAUCUGGGCCCCCAUUAGAUGAUGGCCCAUUGGACCCAAAAUUUGCAGUAGUCGACCCACGAGAUCCUGGGCCGUCGGGUACGAUCGAGAAUCCCGAAGGGAGCAAAGCCACGUACGCAGAAUCACCACCAUUCAUCACCACAUGCAUUGCCGGGAUAUCAACUGGCGCGUAAACAACCAGCGCUCCUGCCGCGUCUAUGCACGUCUCCUGAAGUAUCAACAUGCUACUCUGAUUCGCGUUAAUAGCCUGUUAAACAAACCCUUAGUUAUGAAUACAUUUACGAAGAAUGCCAUUCUGCGGUAUAAUACGUCAAUUUCUGUUACAGUGUUAAAAAACCGAGUCAACUAGGGAUUAGGACUUUUCAUGUAAAAGGUGAUAUCAUGUGGUAGGGCUGACUUAAAAAAGGUAACAAGUGUCAUGUGUUUUGACUUUUUACGAAUUUACAAAAGAAACAACAAAGUUAAAAACUACAGAUCUGCAAUCAAAUGUCGUUUAGAGAUACUUCCAAAUUCCCUUAUUUGUCCUUUUCAAUUCACCUUUUUAUAUCUUAAGAAAAUGAACCCCACCCAUGCAAAUCAAUCAAUUUCUCUCAUUCAAUUAAUCAUGACCUUCUACAUGCAUUCAUCUAUUAACGCCAUGCAUUAUUAUCCUCACACCCUAUUUUUCAAUCCAUUCAAAAUUAAUAUCUUCAGUAUUAAUUUUUUUUUCUUUAAAAUGAAAAGGGUUAAAGAAAUUACACUAGCACGGAGGAGGGAGACGCAGUUGCCAUGAUCUUGGCCUUUGGCAAUAUGAGCCAUUUCUUGCAUAGGACCACCAUUGGAUAGGAUAUCCCAUUCACUCCGGAGACGUUCAUCACGGAGGAAAUCGAAGAGUCUUUGUGGGGAAACCGGCAACCAAACGGAAGUAGCAGCACUUAAAACAAUGCCCGGUGGCUCCCCCGGGUCAUCGACACUCUUUCGGGUCAUAACACGGACAUCUUCAUCCACAUUACCUGCACACAGUUUGUUCCACUUGUGUACCGUAGAAGCACAAACGCCAGCACAGAAGUUAGUGACCCGCUAAUUCUUUGAUCUGGGCUCCCAUUACAUGAUGGCCCAUUGGACGCACAAUUGGCAGUAUUAGACCCACGAGAUCCUGGGCCGUCGGGUACAAUCGAGAAUCCCGAAGGGAGCAAAGCCACGUACGCAGAAUCACCACCGUUCAUCACCACGUGCAUUGCCGGGAUAUCAACUGGCGCGUAAACAACCAGCGCUCCUGCCGCGUCUAUGCACGUCUCCUGAAGUAUCAACAUGCUGCUCUGAUUCGCGUUAAUAGCCUGGCAAUUAAGCAAACCCUUAGCAUGAAUAAAUUUACGAAAAAGGCCAUUCUGCGGUAUAAUACGUCAAUUUCUGUUACAGUGUUAAAAAACUUAGUCAACUAGGGAUUAGGACUUUUCAUGUAAAAGAUGAUAUCAUGUGGUAGGGCUGACCAAAAAAAGGUAAAAAGUGUCAUGUGUUUUGACUUUUUACAAAUUUACAAAAGAAACAACAAAGUUAAAAAAAAUACAGAUCUGCAAUCAAAUGUCGUUUAGAGAUACUUCCAAAUCCCCUUAUUUGUCCUUUUCAAUUCACCUUUUUAUAUCUUGUGAAAAUGAACCCCACCCAUGCAAAAUCAAACAAUUUCACUCAAAUACAAUCAAUCAGUCUACAUGAAUUCAUCUACUAACGCCAUGCAUUAUUAUCCUCGCACCCUAUUUUUUUAUCCAUUCAAAAUUAAUCUCUUGCAUGAUGGAAUAUUAAUUUAUUUUCUUUUAAAAAAAUAAGAGUUAAAGAAAUUACACUAGCACGGAGGAGGGAGACGCAGUUGCCAUGAUCUUGGCCUUUGGCAAUAUGAGCCAUUUCUUGCAUAGGACCACCAUUGGAUAGGAUAUCCCAUUCACUCCGGAGACGUUCAUCACGGAGGAAAUCGAAGAGUCUUUGUGGGGAAACCGGCAACCAAACGGCCGUUGGAUAGGAUAUCCCAUUCGCUCCGGAGGCGUUCGUCGCGGAGGAAAUCGAAGAGUCUUUGUGGGGAAACCGGCAACCAUACGGAAGUAGCAGCGCUUAAAACAAUGCCCGGUGGCUCACCGGGGUCAUCGACGCUCUUUCGGGUCAUAACACGGACAUCUUCGUCCACAUUACCUGCACAAAGUUUGUUCCACUUGUGUACCGUAGAAGCACAAACACCAGCACAAAAGUUGUUUGUCAUGCGUUGUGCUAACUUCAACAUGCUCCUUCUUCCACUUGGAGUUAUUGCUGCAUGUGAUUGUGUGUUUAGUCACAGAAAAUGUAAGGGACUCAUCACAUGAAAAGGGUUGAUUCAUUGAACAUUGGAGCUAGUAAUAGAUUUUAUGAAUUUGAAGUAUGCCUACCCGUGUGAUCCCUUGAAGAUACGGUGGAGGACAUGAGAAUUGCAAGGCAUUCGCACUGACGUUGGAGGGUGGCCACCCAUCUUUGUGCACCAAAGCCCAUUCCGGCACUGAUCAAUGGCCGGUAAAGAUGGUGAAUCACGCUCUCAUCAUAUUCCCCAUGUUCUACCCAUGUAACCUGCACAAUUCAAUUAUAUAUAGUCAACCUAAACUUGCUUAAAAUAGAAACCUUUUAUUCACUCAAGGGUAGAGAAAAACUCAACUAUAUUAACAUUAAUUUCAAAUUGAGACAUGCUAACCCCUGAAGACUGAUUGUCUCGGGAAAGUCCAACUUCCUUUUAUUAAUUGCAAAUUAAUUGUAACAUGAAUCAUAUUCAUCUACUGCCAAAAUUCUAAUAUAUGGUGUAAUCAGUGGCAUUAUUAUUUUUUCGCUUGGUUAAUUCAAACUAUGAAUUGAAUCUAGCAGAAAACAUCCUAACAAAAAUUUACUUGAUGAAUAACGUGACCUAACAACUUAUUGGCGAUAUUAGAAUUUUAAAACCAUAAUAUGGUCUAAAAACCUAAAAAUAUAUUCCAAAAAAGUACAUUAUGCCAUGGGAAAAUGGAAAUCGAAAAUGAAGUUUUUUUUUUAUGAUACAAGACAAAUCUUGGUAAUGGGCCUAGAAAGGUUAGGUUCAAGGAGAGACAUUAUAGAACCUAGAACCCUAAAAGUGGAAGGCAUUAAAAUACAAGUUUUCGCCAUUUUUUUGCAAAUUUGAAGGCACGAGGUAGGCUGUAGACAUUGAGAAAUGUACUACAAAGCUUUAGACCUUGUAGAUACUCACGUGACAACAAAAUAAUAGUCAGCCUUGGGGUUUGACUAAAAGGUCCUUUACUAGUAUAAAAAACAAACACAUCAUAAGGCUGGAACCAGAUAAUACACAGUUAGAUGAAUUAACUAUAGACACGGGGGACUGAUCGAGACAGCAUCAGAGAUUGGAAUAGAAACAUCAAAUAGUUUGUU
rnacentral:lncRNA from 1 species